rnacentral:rRNA from 1 species
AAGCAGCCACUCAUUCAAAGAGUGCGUAAUAGCUCACUGGUCGAGUGAUCCUGCGCCGAAGAUUUCCGGGGCUAAAACUUACUACCGAAGCUACGGCAUCAUUAUGAUGGGUAGGGGAGCUUCCCAUACGGGUUGAAGCAUGACCGUAAGGACAUGUGGACAGUAUGGGAGUGAGAAUGUUGGCAUGAGUAGCGAGAUGUGGGUGAGAAUCCCACAGGCCGUAAACCCAAGGUUUCCAGGGGAAGGUUCGUCCGCCCUGGGUUAGUCGGGACCUAAGCUGAGGCCGAAAGGCGUAGGUGAUGGACAACAGGUUGAUAUUCCUGUACUACCGAUAACCGUUUGAGAGAUGGGAUGACACAGUAGGAUAAGCUAAGCACACUGUUGGUUAUGUGUGCCCAAGCAUUGAGGCAGUCAGAGUAGGUAAAUCCGCUUUGAUAAUGCUGGGAUGUGAUGGGGAGCGAAAUUUAGUAGCGAAGUAGCUGAUUUCACACUGUCAAGAAAAGUCUCUAUCGAGGUUAAAGGUACCCGUACCGCAAACCGACACAGGUGGGUGAGGAGA